CCUUGAGUUUCUGAACAAAUCUCCAGAAGGAAUCGAAGCGAUUUGUGGAAGUUUUUACGUGGAUCGGAGCACCUGCCGGAUUCUGGAAUUUUUCCGACCACCGAAGCUUUCGAUCAAUAUAUCUCGAGCUACAGACCCUAUUUUUCUGUGAUUCUUGAACCAAUGAGUCCGUCUUGAGUUUCUUAACAACUCUCUAGAAGGAAUCGAAGCCUGAAAUUGAAGUUUUGACGUCGAAAUCAAGCCUUGCCGGAUUCUGCAAAAUUCUGGAAUUUUUCCGACCACCGAAGCUUUCGAUCGGUAUACCUCGAGCUACAGACCAUAUUUUUCUGUGAUUCUUGAACCAGUGAGUUCUUCUUGAGUUUCUUAACAACUCUUCAGAAGGAAUCGAAGCCUUAAAUUGACGUUUUUACGUCGAAUUGGAGCUCGCCGUUUUCUGCAGUUUCUCGCCGGUUUCUGGAAAAUUCCGGCCACCUUCAUACUGUUCAAGGUGGUUGAUGGAUUGAUUGGUGAACGAUUUCGGAUCGUUGUUUUGAGCUGUUAAGAAGACGCAGCGGGAAUUUAGAGCGGGUAAUCCUACAGGACAGGAGAACCAGGACGGUGAUCGUGCGGUUAGAGCAAUGGUUAUAGUUUUACAGCAAUUGUAAUAGUGAGGCGAGUUAAGCUCAUUUGAGCAUUACAAUUUGAUUUGGUGGGAGUGUGCUGUAAUAAAUAACUUGAGGAUUUGGGUUAUUGUAAAUUUGAGAGUUGUGAAGUGUGGUUGUUUGUGAGAAAAAAAUUCAGGAUGUUAGUUGUAAUUUGUUAUUAUUCAUGUUUCGGAUUUGAAUUGAUUAUUCAA